CUUUGCUCAGGGCAAACCCGGGGAAACCCGGGGACGCAGAGCAACGGGACUAAAGAAGCCUGGCAACACCGCUCACCGCUCGUACUCCACUCACAUUCGAAAAGGCCUGCUUCCAUGUCAGCCGAGCCGCCAAA
rnacentral:ncRNA from 1 species